rnacentral:sRNA from 1 species
UGUCGGGCAUACAUACGACCUUAUUCCCCCCUCUAUUGAGUAUCAUGCUGGCAGAUUCGAGUAAUGAGGUGGCCGUACAACAGUAGUCGGAUGCAGCAGCCUCGGCUUGGCCUUGAAGGCCUUAUCCGAUGUUAUAGAUAGAGGCAAAGAUGCCGCUUAGCACUUCAUGCGUGCUUUGCCGGCGUAUGAGCUUCAGGAAUAUACUGCUACUGUCGGUACAGUCAAGAACGCAUCUUCGCGGACGUUUUAAUUCAUAACCCAAAGGUCAAGAGCGCAAUAAUGACAGCCAGAAAUGUGCUUGCUUCCGCUUAAUGGAUUGUGUCUAUUCCUAAGCCUCCUCUAGAUCUUGUAUUAUUGUUUGUUCAUUUUUGGGAUUUUCUAUGUGAAACACGCAUUGUUUAUCAGGCAUGUAUAGAGGUCAGGCG